rnacentral:lncRNA from 1 species
AUAAGAAUUAUAUUGUUAUUAUUUCAGGGUCAUUUUUGUUAGAAUAUUAACAUCAAUUCUGAUGAAAUAAAGAACCUAAGACCUAUCAACGUGUUUGUGUUUAUUUAAAUACAUGGGAAGCACGACUACAUUUUGGCGCCCAACGUAGAUUUCAUCAGUGUUAUUAAAGAUCAACGAUUUCCAUUACCUGUGGAGGGAACUCCGU